AGAUGUUCCCUCUACACAGCUGUCUAGUCAUCUGUUUGCAACGCUAAUGCGUAAAGUUUAGCCUUUUCAUAAGGGUCCAAGUUAGACCUGCUUAAAAUGUGUCGCAUCAUUUCGUCUAGGUCGUUUGCCACGGUCUGUCUUAAAUUUGUUUUAUCGGACGCGAGGUUUACGUUUUUCCAUCUGAUGAUGCGGUUUCAAAUACAUCUUCUCUGCAAUAUACAUUUUAAUCUUUGCGCGAUGCUACCAAACUGCUUAUAAAGGGGUCAGCAACGCUAAGCAAGGGUCCUGAGCUGACAAAUUCUACAAUCUCGUCAUUAGAGUCCAACUCACUUGUAAGACCCCCCAGACAUAAAAGGAAAUGCCCUAGACGUGCAUAUGUGUGAUUACGCAAGAAGACACGUGUACGAGACGGUCAAACAGAGGUGACGGCUGAGAUGGAAAAACACAAAAGCAGAAGUGAGAAACUAUAAGCCUGUCUG